UACGGAGGAGGCAAGCGUUAUCCGGAAUUAUUGGGCGUAAAGCGUCCGCAGGUGGCGAUUCAAGUCUGCGGUCAAAGACUGGGGCUUAACCCUGGAAAGGCCGUGGAAACUGAAGAGCUAGAGUGCAGUAGGGGUAGAGGGAAUUCCCGGUGUAGCGGUGAAAUGCGUAGAGCUCGGGAAGAACAUCGGUGGCGAAAGCGCUCUGCUGGACUGCAACUGACACUCAGGGACGAAAGCUAGGGGAGCGAACGGG
rnacentral:rRNA from 1 species